rnacentral:rRNA from 1 species
GUGAACGCUGGCGGUAGGCCUAACACACGCAAGUCGAACGGCAGCACAGUAAGAGCUUGCUCUUACGGGUGGCGAGUGGCGGACGGGUGAGGAAUACAUCGGAAUCUACUUUUUCGUGGGGGAUAACGUAGGGAAACUUACGCUAAUACCGCAUACGACCUACGGGUGAAAGCAGGGGAUCUUCGGACCUUGCGCGAUUGAAUGAGCCGAUGUCGGAUUAGCUAGUUGGCGGGGUAAAGGCCCACCAAGGCGACGAUCCGUAGCUGGUCUGAGAGGAUGAUCAGCCACACUGGAACUGAGACACGGUCCAGACUCCUACGGGAGGCAGCAGUGGGGAAUAUUGGACAAUGGGCGCAAGCCUGAUCCAGCCAUACCGCGUGGGUGAAGAAGGCCUUCGGGUUGUAAAGCCCUUUUGUUGGGAAAGAAAAGCAGCAGGUUAAUACCCCGCUGUUCUGACGGUACCCAAAGAAUAAGCACCGGCUAACUUCGUG